UGAGGAAUAUUGGUCAAUGGGCGAGAGCCUGAACCAGCCAAGUAGCGUGCAGGAUGACGGCCCUAUGGGUUGUAAACUGCUUUUAUAUGGGAAUAAAGUGAGGGACGUGUCCCUUAUUGCAUGUACCAUACGAAUAAGGACCGGCUAAUUCCGUGCCAGCAGCCGCGGUAAUACGGAAGGUCCAGGCGUUAUCCGGAUUUAUUGGGCGUAAAGCGAGCGCAGGCGGUUAGAAAAGUCUGAAGUGAAAGGCAGUGGCUCAACCAUUGUAGGCUUUGGAAACUGUUUAACUUGAGUGCAGAAGGGGAGAGUGGAAUUCCAUGUGUAGCGGUGAAAUGCGUAGAUAUAUGGAGGAACACCGGUGGCGAAAGCGGCUCUCUGGUCUGUAACUGACGCUGAGGCUCGAAAGCGUGGGGAGCGAACAG
rnacentral:rRNA from 1 species